UUUGACUACAGUGGUUGGCAACACUAUCGUUAGGGAGCGAAUGAGGCUGCUCAUAUUAUGACACAUAGCCGGGUCUUUUGGAAUAAUUCUAUUAUUUGGAUGGAUACUUCUCCCAUUUUCCUUGUUGAUAAGCUUUUGCUGGAUAUUGUAAUGACUGCUUCUACUCAUAUAAUAGCUUCGUGCUCACCCAGAGUUCUGCUGAAUAAUGUAACGACUGCUUCUACUAUAA
rnacentral:lncRNA from 1 species